GGAUCACAGAACAAUGACCUGAAAAGACAGUUUCUGCUGGAGCGUCUGCUGGAUGCAGUGAAACAGUGCCAGAUCCGCUUUGGAGGGAGAAAGGAGAUUGCCUCGGAUUCCGACAGCAGAGACAGAGAGACCACAAGCAGGCAGAGC